rnacentral:rRNA from 1 species
UACAGAGGUCUCAAGCGUUGUUCGGAUUCAUUGGGCGUAAAGGGUGCGUAGGCGGCCAACUAAGUCCGACGUGAAAUCCCAAGGCUUAACCUUGGAACUGCGUCGGAUACUGGAUGGCUUGAAUUCGGGAGAGGGAUGCAGAAUUCCAGGUGUAGCGGUGAAAUGCGUAGAUAUCUGGAGGAAUACCGGUGGCGAAGGCGGCAUCCUGGACCGACAUUGACGCUGAUGAGCGAAAGCUAGGGGAGCAAACGGG